AGAGUUUGAUCAUGGCUCAGGAUGAACAGCAUAGCGGCAGGCUUAACACAUGCAAGUCGAGGGGUAUAGUUCUUCGGAGCUAGAGACCGGCGCACGGGUGCGUAACGCGUAUGCAAUCUACCUUUUACAGAGGGAUAGCCCAGAGAAAUUUGGAUUAAUACCUCAUAGUAUGUGAGAAUCGCAUGGUUUUCACAUUAAAGUCACAACGGUAAAAGAUGAGCAUGCGUCCCAUUAGCUUGUUGGUAAGGUAACGGCUUACCAAGGCAACGAUGGGUAGGGGUCCUGAGAGGGAGAUCCCCCACACUGGUACUGAGACACGGACCAGACUCCUACGGGAGGCAGCAGUGAGGAAUAUUGGACAAUGGGCGCAAGCCUGAUCCAGCCAUGCCGCGUGCAGGAUGACGGUCCUAUGGAUUGUAAACUGCUUUUGUACAGGAAGAAACACUCCCUCGUGAGGGAGCUUGACGGUACUGUAAGAAUAAGGAUCGGCUAACUCCGUGCCAGCAGCCGCGGUAAUACGGAGGAUCCAAGCGUUAUCCGGAAUCAUUGGGUUUAACGGUCCGUAGCGGUUUAAUAAGUCAGUGUGAAGCCCAUCGCUCAACGGUGGAACGGCCAUUGAUACUGUUAAACUUGAAUUAUUACGAAGUAACUAGAUAUGUAGUGUAGCGUGAAAUGCUUAGAGAUUACAUGAUACAAUGCG
rnacentral:rRNA from 1 species